AGGCCCACCUCUCCAGCCUGUCGAGGUCUCUCUGGAUGGCAUCCCUUCCUUCCAGGCUUCUCAGAGUCCGGUUGCUUGGGAAUGCAGCCCGAAGUGGGUGGUAGACUCCAUCUAAGGCUAAAUACCGGCACGGACCGAUAGCCAACAAGUACCGUAACG
rnacentral:ncRNA from 1 species